rnacentral:lncRNA from 1 species
ACGAUAUGAAUUAUUUGAAAGAUAAAGGAUUAAUCUUGCAUUUUAUAAAGAAAAAAUGCAACAGUUUUGCCUAAAAAGUCAUGAUACAUGGUCUAGUUUCAUGCCAUCAACACAGAUUUUGUACAUUUUUAGACAUUUUCGUGCACUUUAUCACCAAAAUACGAUACGAGCGCAGGGGAGAACAAUUUUAAUUUUUGGAUAUGUUUUGAGGAUUGCAAAAACACGAAGAAUGAUACAUGAGAGAAAAUUGUUCUAAAGUGCGCUCGUAGUAAAUUUUGAACAAAUACGGUAUUUUCGUCGGAAAAUUCUACUCUAAAAAUAGCCAUGUAAAGGGACGAAACUCUUGAUCUCCUUGAAGAGCUUGGCGUAAAGGUAAAUAAAAACAUGUUGUGACGUAAUGCGGAAGUGAUAUCGGUUGCUUGAAAAAUGGAUUUUUGUCAAAUUACAGUGAACAAGUUAUUGUGAGAUAGUCUGAUUACUUUGGAGCUGCCAGAUUGUGUAUGAAAUCCUGAAAAAAAGUAUUUCAACAACUUUUUCAUGAACCACAGAAACUUCACCUUACCAAAUUGUAGGACCAGACAUUGUGAGAAAGUUUGAUUGCAUUCAAGAGCUGCCAGAGCUAAAGCUAGAAAAGAAACUAAACAACUUCUUCUCAUGAUCUGCUUAAUUGAUCUUCACAUUGAAUUGUCAACCUGUAUGCUACAUUGUAUAAUGACGUUGAGCAAAUAAAGAUACUGCAGUCAGCGUUACAACCUUCAUUAAACAGAAUGAAUUGGUGUUACAGAAAUGGAUAACAUAUGGAGACAAACACUUUCAGGCUACAGAAACUACACAUUGUUUGAGACUAUGAGAAUGGCUUAUUUUCAUGAUGGAACUCAUACCACAAAGAAAGAACUUGCUUUAUCUUAUUUCUUAUAACUAGUCCUCAAAGACAUACCCAAGUAAACUACAACAGGAAUGAAAGCAAACAAAGUUGAUUCAGGAUUUAGAAUUGAAUGUUUCUGUGUCAACAGUGUGUGAAAACUGCGGAAAAUAGGAUUUUAAUUUCAAGGAUUUGAUUUAGUAUGUCAAGGAGUGAUUUGUUUUUAAUUCAUCACACAAGUUAUUGACAAUGCUCUAAAAUAUAAAUAGGAUGUGUAAAUACAGACUUUCAUACCUAACUAAAAUAAUGUU